UGGGGAAUCUUGCGCAAUGGACGAAAGUCUGACGCAGCAACGCCGCGUGAGUGAAGAAGGCCUUCGGGUUGUAAAGCUCUGUCGAGCGGGACGAAAAAUGAUUAGGUGAAUAGCCUAGUCAUCUGACGGUACCGCUAAAGGAAGCACCGGCUAACUCCGUGCCAGCAGCCGCGGUAAUACGGAGGGUGCAAGCGUUGCUCGGAAUUAUUGGGCGUAAAGGGUAGGUAGGUGGUCUCAUUUGUCUGGGGUGAAAGCCUUGAGCUUAACUCAAGAAGUGCCCUAGAAACGGUGAGACUAGAGUUCUGGAGAGGGUCGUGGAAUUCCCGGUGUAGCGGUGAAAUGCGUAGAGAUCGGGAGGAACACCAGAGGCGAAGGCGGCGACCUGGACAGAUACUGACACUCAACUACGAAAGCGUGGGGAGCAAACAGGAUUAGAUACCCCCGUAGUCC
rnacentral:rRNA from 1 species